CUUGCACGCAAUUCUUGCACGGCUUUCGCGGUAGUUUGCUAUUACUGUUUUUUAUGUAACAAAAAUUAAUGGAUUCUUCUGAAGAAGAAGCCGAUUAUGAUAUUGUCGUCAACAACAAUGAGGUACAACCUUACAUGUUCGAGCCUUUGGCCAACGCGCAAGGUGGUCAUAGUAAUGACAAUUCUUCGUCAUCGGAAAGCGAAGAUGAAUACAUUCACAGAAUUGGAAAUGUUGAAUGGUUAGUUGCAUUUUAUUGAUGCUUCAUUGUUUUUCCCAAAGUAGAAAGAAUGUAUUUAUCUUUUAGGUGCGAGUGUGGCUUUUGUGUGGUCAUGAGUACAGGACGGGAAAGUAUAUGUUGCCAAGAGGUAAACAACACUGAUCCUCUGAUACAUGGCGAUCAUAUUUGCAUCACACAAGAGGAAGAGUUUGCCACAGUAUGUACAAACGAAGCUGUCGUAAAAACAGCUAUGGUCGUGUACACACAUGACAUUGGACCUAUGCCUGAGAGUGAAGAAAACGAAGCAUUACGCUACACGGCGUACCGACAGUGGACGGCUUGGGUGCAUGGCAGGUUGGGAAAAAAGUACCGACUACCCAUACCUUCUUGUGCUGUGGACAAAAUCCGGAAAGCAUUUCCUUCGCCUUCUGGAGAAUACAAAGGAUUUGAAUAUGCUCAACACUACUGAAUGCGAGAUUUAUGUUGCUUAAUGGCUUCAGCUUUGCUGAUUUUUGAUUUGUGGUGAGUCAAUGGGACAGGUAUUUCUUUCACUCCAGCGACAUCAAGAGCUUUGGACAGUGUUGGAUUAAUGCGUCUGCAGUACAAAACUUCUUUCAUCAAGUCCUUAACAUAUCCUGAAAAGCAAAUCAUUAUUUAUGUUGGCUUUGCAUUGCACUUUGAGAAAAGAAAAAAUGGGUAUGUUUUGGUGCAAAAAGAAUCACCACUCGGUGGAAACCUUCGAUGGAUGAAGUCUGCUUCUGAUAACUGAGUUUUCCAAUAUCUCUCAUGAGAUACUUGGACUCAACAAUCGAAGACAGCUCAACAUAAGCUUUUGAACCUAAGAUCAGAAGCUCUAACAUAUCAUGUUCACAUUUUGGGAAUACAUCACUAUGUCCCUCAUGGAUGUCACAUAUAUGAUUGAGAACUGACAACCACUUUGCCUUGACAAGUUCUUCAUCACCAUUGCUGGAAGCAGCACACCAGUAUACAUGGUUGGAAAUUGAUUGGGCCCAAUCCGACAAUAAUUUGCAACCACUUUUUUUUGAUGCUGCCAAAAUUUUCUUUUUGAUUCCUGUUGGAAUUUGAUUAUUGAUGAAAUGUGUAAAAGGAUUUGAUUUGAGCAUGUCUGUCUGUGGUCAUUGACUUCACCUUCAUCCCACUUUCAUCAAACUUUGCCAGACAUCUCUUUAAUCCCUCAAGUUCCAUUGCUCCAGAGUUCGUCACUUCAUUGGACUGUGUAACAUAAUUAUAUUCCAAAUCCAUGCAGCUAUAUGACCCAUACUUGGCACAAUAUCCAGGCGAAUCACAUCUUCCAUCUCCUCCAAGGUUAAUGUUCCUUUCUCUGAUUGAUUCUAGAAGAUGCUUUUGGUGCAUAUGCCAAACAUUUGAAACACUGGGUAUCAAAUACGCUGUUUGAAUAUUGCUAUAUGUGAGCUCUGACAGAAAUUGUAUGCCUGAGUGACGAAGAAAUUGAAGAACUUUGCUGGGGCUACUACCACUAAACAAGAUACUGGCAGCAAAGACCAAGUUGCCCAAAGGCAUUCGCCCAUGCAGAGGUUGGCUAUUCCAGUCUCGAACAUAACCACAAUUACAUUUUGCUAGUACGUUAACCAUACUACCAGUCGUUUUGGUCACAAUGGAACAGCUUUCACCACAACAUGGGCAUUGACUCACUAACUGUCUCAGGCAACUAUCAAACACUAUGUAUUUUCUCUCAUUUUGAACGUCUUCCCUAUAACAUAAAAAUUACCAUCAGAAUCAAGAGAGAGAUGAACGUAACGUUCUGAGAAACAUAUAACAGAGAAAAGCAAUGUAAAGAAUAGUCAGGUGACUGGAUAGUUGGUACUAACGU